UACAGAGGUCUCGAGCGUUGUUCGGAUUCAUUGGGCGUAAAGGGCGCGUAGGCGGCGGGGUAAGUCUGGUGUGAAAUCUCGGAGCUCAACUCCGAAAUUGCACUGGAUACUGCUCUUCUAGAGGGCUGGAGAGGAGAUCGGAAUUCACGGUGUAGCAGUGAAAUGCGUAGAUAUCGUGAGGAAGACCAGUGGCGAAGGCGGAUCUCUGGACAGCUCCUGACGCUGAGGCGCGAAGGCUAGGGGAGCAAACGGG
rnacentral:rRNA from 1 species